rnacentral:rRNA from 1 species
GACGAACGCUGGCGGCGUGCUUAACACAUGCAAGUCGAGCGGUAAGGCCCUUUCGGGGUACGACGAGCGGCGAACGGGUAGGAGUAACAACGUGGGUGGACCUCGCCCUCCAGCUCCUGGGAGUAAAGACCUCGGGAAACCGGGGUACCGUAAUAACUGGAGUAUGACUCCAUGACGCAUGUUGUGGGGUGGGAAAGACCUU